rnacentral:rRNA from 1 species
UACGAAGGGUGCAAACGUUGCUCGGAAUUAUUGGGCGUAAAGCGCACGUAGGCGGCAUUGCAAGUCGGAUGUGAAAUCUUAUGGCUUAACCAUAAAAGUGCAUCCGAAACUGCAGUGCUUGAGUACUUAAGAGGAUCGCGGAAUUCCCGGUGUAGAGGUGAAAUUCGUAGAUAUUCGGAAGAACACCAGUGGCGAAGGCGACUUACUGGACACAUAUUGACGCUGAGGUGCGAAAGCGUGGGGAGCAAACAGG